GGGGGAUUAGCUCAGCUGGGAGAGCACCUGCUUUGCAAGCAGGAGGUCAUCGGUUCGAUCCCGAUAUCCUCCA
rnacentral:tRNA from 1 species